UAGUCAUAUGCUUGUCUCAAAGAUUAAGCCAUGCAUGUCUAAGUAUAAGCAAUCUAUACGGUGAAACUGCGAAUGGCUCAUUAAAUCAGUUAUCGUUUAUUUGAUAGUACCUUACUACUUGGAUAACCGUGGUAAUUCUAGAGCUAAUACAUGCUAAAAACCCCGACUUCGGAAGGGGUGUAUUUAUUAGAUAAAAAACCAAUGCCCUUUGGGGCUCCUUGGUGAUUCAUAAUAACUUAACGAAUCGCAUGGCCUUGUGCCGGCGAUGGUUCAUUCAAAUUUCUGCCCUAUCAACUUUCGAUUGUAAGGUAGUGGCUUACAAUGGUUUCAACGGGUAACGGGGAAUUAGGGUUCUAUUCCGGAGAGGGAGCCUGAGAAACGGCUACCACAUCCAAGGAAGGCAGCAGGCGCGCAAAUUACCCAAUCCCGACACGGGGAGGUAGUGACAAUAAAUACUGAUACAGGGCUCUUUUGGGUCUUGUAAUUGGAAUGAGUACAAUUUAAAUCCCU
rnacentral:rRNA from 1 species